AGGUCUGAUUAAUCUAAGAAUUCUGGUAAACCGACACGAAAGACCAACAACCUGAUCCACGUGGGCAAAGGAUGCCAACAGGGAAGGAAAUGUGACUAACACCGAAAUCCCACAAAAUACACGCAGUCCCUUCUGUACACAGGAGCCAUAGGCACCUGCGGUCUCCCACCCUCACUGCAGACCAGGCCUCGGUGCACUGCUGGUGGACACAGACGGGAAGCCCGUAUUGCAAGAGACGCCAGGUGGCACCUUUCCCACACUGUGGUCCUGCAGCUGUGUUCCCCCCGUGAAGUGACCUACGUACUUGGUUUCUCAGUUCAUCACUGAAAAGUAACCCCAACGUCAGCAGGAGCCCGGACGGACACAGUGCGCGCACAGUGGGGCUGCACAGGGGAGGCCAGGCGUGGAGCAGGUGCAUUUGAGCGUUUGCUCCUGUAUGUGCGUGCUCUGGAAGGACACGUCAUGCGGGUGCGGGGGAGCAGGGCGGUGUGACAGGCAGGAGGGGCACUCACUGAGGACUCCCUCUGCCUUUUGAAUUUUCUAGCGUGUGAGUUACUCGGAACACUCUCAUGGUGAAGAUGCUGGCUACACAGAAAACAUUCCCUGGAGGUGCCGGGGAGACCCAGGUGGCUGAGGGACCAGUGUUUGAAGGCAUCAAAUCCCCAAAGAUGAAGAGAAAAGGAAACACCACUGACGUUCUGUCCUCUGGAAAGCAGAGGGGCAGGUGACUGUAGAGACUGGAGAAGGCAGCAGGAGGGAAACAAACAGAAUCAACCUGUUUUAACCUGUUUUACCCCAAAGAAGAUUCAGAAAGUUCAGGAGUCGGAGGUACCAGGUACAUCUGGCCGUGCAGGGUGAGGGCUGCCAUGCAGGUCAGGGACCAGCUCUAGGCUCUGUCUGCACAGGAUGCUGAGCAGACAGCGGGCUCUGUUGUCGCUUGGAUUCUGGGUCUCCUCCCAUCUUGGCAAAAGGCGGGGUUGAGGCAGGAGACCAACUGAGGAAGUUAGGGGUUAAGUGAAGUCACGCUGUGUGCUGAGCAGCAGCCUCUCCUGGGAUACUGGCAAAAGGCUGGAAGUGCCUUCCUGGGGGGCUCAGGUGCCCCAAACAGUCCAGCCAGAGUACCCGACAGAUCUUCACUGGCACCCACUGACACCCCCUCUCCCCACUCAUAUCCCCCAAGAUGUGGGUCUUGGGGAGUGAUGCCUCCAUGUCUUACCCAGCCCCUCACUCACCUGCUCAGAGCCCCCAGAUUGGUGGUCCCCGUCUUAAACAUAAGCAGACAACUUGGAGGGAACAGAGACUAUAUUGGGAGAAGAAAACCUAAAACAAGUUACUGAUAUUCUCAGAGAAAUAAGGAAAGACAUUGUAACUGUGAGGACAACAGGAAGUGGCUAUAACAACGAAAGUUCAGGGAAUGGAACCGUCCUGGAAGUUAAAACUAACGAGCAGAUGCGAGCAUCUCCACAGGGUCUGGAAGAUGUCAGUGAAGGACUCUGGACGACAGAAUACAAAGAAAGGGAUGACGGUCAGAGUGAGAAGGUAAGAACAUUGUAGCUGGUCAAGCGGAAUGAAGUUAACUAGAAGAGGACGUUCUGCUGAGAAAAGGGGGGGCCUGCAAGCGGGCCACGUCAGAACCAAGUCUUGCAAGCAAGACUUAUUGUUCAGAGGCAGAAUUUUCCAUGAGGUGAUAAAUAGCCCAUGAGGGUAUGGAAAGUUCAAGGGAGGGUGCACUGCUGCAGGUGGAAAGGGUCUGUGUAUAACAUAGGAAAUUAAUAGUUUAAUGUAUAACUCAGCUCUGAUGAUCUCAUAAGCAUGCCUGUUAGUCACUGUCACUUGCUGUGCUCCAUUGUUAUUUGCUGUACUCCCCAAAUAAAAGCCAUGAGGGCUUUGGGGGCUUUGCUACUUGCCUGACUAGCAAUAGCCCUCUGCUUCUCUAAACUUCA